rnacentral:rRNA from 1 species
UACGUAGGGUGCAAGCGUUGUCCGGAAUUAUUGGGCGUAAAGAGCUUGUAGGUGGUUUGUCGCGUCUGCUGUGAAAUUUCGGGGCUCAACCCCGAACUUGCAGUGGGUACGGGCAAACUAGAGUGUGGUAGGGGAGACUGGAAUUCCUGGUGUAGCGGUGAAAUGCGCAGAUAUCAGGAGGAACACCGAUGGCGAAGGCAGGUCUCUGGGCAUUAACUGACGCUGAGGAGCGAAAGCAUGGGGAGCGAACAGG